UAUUCCCGUUGUCACGGACGGUGAAGUGAUUGAAAAUGAACUCAGUGGAGUGACAACUGCAGUGUAGUGGUAUUCAUAAUCGCAAUGUUUAUAGUGCAACAUCGGAAGCCACAAACUGUCACAUGCUGCGUUCGUUGUUCUUUCUAACAUAUGAAAGUAGAAGAGUAUUCAUUACUUAUUUGCUUAAUUGUUGCUAAAAAGGUGGGAUAGUUCAGUUUUUAUUUCAAUCAUGAGCGUGGAACUUUGGUUUGAUACUGACAGUGAAGACGACGAGGAGUAUGCCAAUCUUGCCGUAGAACGUAGGCGUAUAAGGGAUUACUCUAAUCCACUAGAUCAAACAGAAAAAUCUUUUGUCAAAUUGUUUAGAGUGUCAAAAGACAUUUUUUCACACCUGCUGGAAAUCAUUGAUACGAAACUGAAACCAUCUAGUCAUUCAACUGCAGUUUCUCCAUUGAUUAUGCUAGCGGCUUCUUUGAGGUUCUUUUCCGAAUGAAGUUAUCAGAAGGGUGUUGGGAAUGAUCGAUUGGCGCAACCUACGAUGUCAAAAGUAUUGCAGUUGGUUUUGGACAUACUUGAGAAGGAAAUAUGCCCCGUCGAAAUCGUUUUCCCAACCGACGAACGUGAAAAGCAUAUCAUAAAACAGGGCUUUUACGAACAAACGGGAUUUCCAGGAGUCAUCGGUUGCGUAGACGGAACCCAUGUGAGCAUAAUAGCUCCAACUCAUGACAAACACCUAUUUUACAACCGAAAAGGGUUCUACAGUCUAAAUGUUAUGUUGGUAUGUGAUCACAAUCUGUUGAUCCGAUAUGUGGACGCCAAUCAUCCGGGUUCCUCUCACGAUUCAUUUGUUUGGAAUGGAAGUGUACUAAAUCAAUUAUUGCAACAGGAAUAUACAAACGGAGAGAGAAACUCUUGGUUACUUGGUGACGCUGGCUACCCCCUAACACCAUUUCUGAUUACACCUUUUCGUACUGGAGAACAAACCGAUGAACGACAGACAAGAUUCAACGGAAUACAUUUUAAGACCAGGAUUACUGUGGAAUGAUCAAUCGGAGUGUUUAAGAAUACUUUCAGAUGUAUGUUGAAAGAACGACAGUUGCAUUACCAGCCGGAAAAAGCAACUCAAAUCAUCAACGUGUGUGUUGCGCUACAUAACCUCAGAAUCAGAUAUAAAAUGGAUUUGGAUGAACCGGAGCUGAAUGACGAAGCGGAUGAGGAUUUUGUAGAUAUUGACGCGAAUUAUGAAAAUGCAAUUAGAAUCAGGGAAGAAAUCAUGCAUA